GCCCAAAUGGCGAAAUGGUAGACGCGUCAGUUUCAGGGACUGGUGGGGGCAACUCCGUGCAAGUUCGAGUCUUGUUUUGGGCA
rnacentral:tRNA from 1 species